CCGGCAGCAAGGAAGGGCCCAAUGUUGCUGUUUGGGGCUACCAAGGCCAUUGGCGGAGGGAGGCAGGCAGGCAAGGGCCUGGGCCUGACAGCAGCCUGAGGGGAAUGAGCAGCUAUAGCAGUGGUUGCAGUGAGGAAGGGCUCCUGUGGGGAGGAGAAGGAGCAAGAAUGGGGCUCGGGUGAGGAAGUCUCUGAGAAUAGGAGGCUGCUGCUUGCCCAGCAAUGCCGCAACCGUGACCAAGAGGGGUGAGGGGGAUGGAAGCAACGGAAUGGAAGAGGAGGAGCAGGAGUGCAGCUCGGGUGAAGGUGGGGAGAUCUCUUAGGUAGGGGCUGUGGCGGAGGUGAAGGAAGCAAUCAAGUACUAGCACGCAGAUGUUCUGCGCAGAUGCCCUGCAGCUUAUGCCACACCUGCAAAAGCACCUAUGUAUUUCAGUGCCAACUGGACUUACUCCUCAAAGCUCAAGUUUGUUCCCAACAGCACUAGUAACAAAACUCCUAUUGACAAGCAGCUGCUAAAUUAAGAAGGUUAAAAUUACCUUUGGAAGCACUUGGACUACUAGUGCAACAUUAGGAUAUCUCAACUGCUUAGGAGGAAGCAAGAAAUAGAGAGGACAUGUGCAAAUGAGUAAGAGUAACAGCUUCGGAGACUUGGUGUUAAUUGGUAACUUUUUGUAAUAGGAUUUGUAACUUUUGUAAUAGAUGACUGAUCCUAUGGUCAUGAAGGCAACGUUUAAACGAUGUAUAAAUAUCACCCUGAGAAUGAAGCUCAGGGUUGAUGCUUUGAGAAAGAUCACCUUUAGCCAUUAUUCUGCACAGAAUAAAGUUCUAAACACUC